CUGCAGGCUUGUGCCAUUGCCAAGGGGCUGGUGAAAAGGCACCAGGGGCAGCGCCAGAACACGACCUGGCCCUCGGAGUGUGAGCAGUGCACCUGUGACCCGGACGGCAUCGCUCGCUGCCUGGUGGCCGACUGCGCCCCCCCGCCCUGCGUCAACGCCGUCUACGAGACGGGCCAGUGCUGCCCCACGUGCCAGGACGGUCCCAACUGCUACGCGGACAGGAGCCGGACGCGCAUCAUCCCCGCCGGAGAGGCCGUCUGGGUGGAGCCCUGCACCCGGUGUCGCUGCCACGACGGCCAGGACGCAGGCUACUGGGAAGGCAACCGGGUGGCCAAGUGCGAACUGCUCCGUAACUGCCGCCCGCUGGACCGGCCCGACUCCUGAGCGCCCCUCUCCCAACCCCAUCCCCCACCUCCUGCUGGGCCGCAGAGCCUCCCCCACCUUCUGCUGGGCCGCAGAGCCCCCCUCAAAAA
rnacentral:lncRNA from 1 species